CCCAAGAGACUGGGAUAACACCUGGAAACAGAUGCUAAUACCGGAUAACAACACUAGACGCAUGUCUAGAGUUUAAAAGAUGGUUCUGCUAUCACUCUUGGAUGGACCUGCGGUGCAUUAGCUAGUUGGUAAGGUAACGGCUUACCAAGGCAAUGAUGCAUAGCCGAGUUGAGAGACUGAUCGGCCACAUUGGGACUGAGACACGGUCCAAACUCCUACGGGAGGCAGCAGAC
rnacentral:rRNA from 1 species